CCUACGGGUGGCAGCAGUGAGGAAUAUUGGUCAAUGGACGAGAGUCUGAACCAGCCAAGUAGCGUGAAGGAUGACUGCUCUAUGGGUUGUAAACUUCUUUUAUAAAGGAAUAAAACGAGGCACGUGUGCCUUUUUGCAUGUACUUUAUGAAUAAGGAUCGGCUAACUCCGUGCCAGCAGCCGCGGUAAUACGGAGGAUCCGAGCGUUAUCCGGAUUUAUUGGGUUUAAAGGGAGCGUAGAUGGGUUGUUAAGUCAGUUGUGCAAGUUUGCGGCUCAACCGUAAAAUUGCAAUUGAUACUGGCAGUCUUGAGUACAGUUGAGGUAGGCGGAAUUCGUAGUGUAGCGGUGAAAUGCUUAGAUAUCACGAAGAACCCCGAUUGCGAAGGCAGCUUACUAAACUGUGACUGACAUUGAUGCUCGAAAGUGUGGGGAUCAAACAGGAUUAGAUACCCCUGUAGUC
rnacentral:rRNA from 1 species